UGGGAGAGCCCCGACUCUCCACCCGCCCAGGCCCCACGGCCUCACAUGCCUUCCACUCCCUCCCCCGGGGGUGGGGGGUGACCGCCAGAAGGACACGCUCUGCAAUCCUAAGCACCAGGCAGGCCCCCCCCCCCCCCCCGCCCCGGGGAAGACCCAGAGUCCUAGUGGAUGAGGUGGGCUGGGGAGGGGUGAGGACGGGGAGUGUCACGUGGGGCCCAGAAUCAGGAGCACCCUUCACACGUCAGGCGCCUGGGGCUCAACUUCCUCUGCUGGGGGCUUCCCUGCUGCCCUGCCCACUGCCCGGCCCAGCGUCGGGGGCAGGUCCGAGUGCAUCCUCCUGCCAGGAUGCUGCUGUUGCUGUUCUUGGCCCUGCUGUGGGCCGGGUCCCCGGCUCAGGACCUAGCAUUCUCACUCCAAGUGCCGCGGGUGGUGACGGCGCAGGAGGGCCUGUGUGUGCGCGUGCCCUGCACCCUCUCCUACCCCCAGAUCGGCUGGACGGACGAGACCCCCGCUCUUGGCUACUGGUUCCUAGUCGGGACAGAAUCGAACAUCGGAAGGCCAGUGGCCACGAACGACCAGAAUCGAGCAGUGCAGACCGUGCCCCAAGAUCGGUUCCAGCUCGUCGGCGAUCCCCAGAACCGGAGCUGCUCCCUGCUCAUCAGAGAGGCCCAGGUGGAGGACUCGGCCUUGUACUUCUUUCGUGUGGAGAGAGGCCAUUUCGUCCGAUACAAUUUUAUGAAAAACCAGUUCUAUCUGGAAGUGACAGCCCUGACACAGAAGCCAGACAUCUACGUCCCAGAGAUCCUGGAGCCAGGAAGCCAGGCGACCCUCAUCUGUGUGUUUAACUGGGACUUUAAGGAAUGUCCAGCCCCUACUUUCUCCUGGAUGGGGGCCGCCGUCCCCGCCCCAGAAACCAGACCAACGUCCUCCUACUUCUCAGUGCUUACUCUCACACCGAGACCCCAGGACCACGGCACCCACCUCACCUGCCGCGUAGACUUCUCCAGGAAGGGCGUGAGCGCAGAGAGGACCGUCAGACUCAAUGUCGCCCAUGGCCCCAAAGACCUGGUCAUCAGCAUUUCCCGUGCCAACACUUCAGCCCUGGAGCCCCAGGGAAAGAGCCCACAUCUGGAGGCUGAGAAAGGCCAGUUCCUGCGACUGCUCUGUGCUGCUGACAGCCAGCCCCCUGCCACACUGAGCUGGGCCCUGGAGGACAGGGUCCUCUCUAGGUCCCACCCCCAGAGCUCCGGAACCCUCGAGCUGGUGCUGCCGAGGGUAAAGCCUGGGGAUUCAGGCCGCUACACCUGCCAAGCCGAGAACAGGCUUGGCUCCCAGAGUGGCACCCUGGACCUCUCUGUGCAGUAUGCCCCAGAGAACCUGAGCGUGAAGGUCCUGCACGCGAACAGGACAGUCCUGGAAAACCUCGGGAAUGGCACGUCCCUCCCAGUCCUAGAGGGCCAAAGCUUGUGUCUGCUCUGUGUCGCCCACAGCAACCCCCCAGCCCAGCUGAGCUGGGUGCUGGGGGGACAGACUCUAAGCCCCUCCCAGCCCGCAGACCCUGGGAUCCUGGAGCUGCCUCAGAUUCAAAUGGAGCAUAAAGGAGACCUCACCUGCCAAGCUCAGAACUCGCUGGGCUCUCAGCACGUCUCCCUGCAUCUCUCUGUGGUCUACCCCCCGCAGCUGCUCCCCCCCUCCUGCUCCUGGGAGGGCGAGGGGCUGCACUGCAACUGCUCCUCCCAAGCCCAGCCUGCCCCCACCCUGCGCUGGCGGCUGGGGGAGGGGCUGCUGGAGGGGAACCACAGCAACGCCUCCUGGACGGUCACCUCCAGCUCUGCAGGGCCCUGGGCCAACAGCUCCCUGAGCCUCAGUGGGUCGCUGGGCUCCGGCCUCAGACUCAGCUGCGAGGCCCGGAAUGCACACGGGUCCCAGAUCGUCGCUGUCCUGCUGCUGCCAGAUAAGGGACUGGUCUCAAACGCAUUCUCCAACGGAACAUUUCUGGGAAUUGGCAUCAUGACCCUGCUUUUCCUCUGCCUCCUCCUGGUCAUCAGGAAGACUCUGAGGAAGAAACAGACCCCUGAGGGGACUCCGACCCAGGCGGGGACUCGAACUCGGGAGGGGACUCAGACCCAGGCGAGGACUCCACCGAGGCCCAGGGCCGCACGGAGGAGCACGAUCCUGGACUAUAUCAAUGUGUUCCCUACCCCUGGCCCCCUGGCUCGGAAUCAGAAAGCCACCCCAAGCAGUCCUUCCCGGGCCCCUCCUCCAGGUGCUCACUCCCUGGAAUUUAAGAAGAACCAGAAGGAGCUACGUGUUGCCCAUGCUUGUCCAGGACCCAAAUCAUUCACUCAAGCCUCAGAAUCAGAGAAUAACCAAGAGGAGCUCCAUUAUUCAACCCUCCACUUCUCAGGCGUCCGACCAUGGGAGACCCAGGAGCCCAAGGAUCCCUGCUCGGAGUACGCAGACAUCAAGUUCCACUGAGGCUGCCUCGGGCUGCCGCCCUGCAGGGCUGGGGUCCAGAAUAGGCAGAAUGGAGAGGAAGAGUAACAGAAGCGGAUGUUGAGAAUGAGUUCAAGAGCAGCCACGGCAAAAACGGCUAAGCUGUGUGACAAGACAGGAAGUCCCCAGAGUGAGGUCUCUCAGGCAAGGACACCACAUGGCGGUUGUGGGGCAGAUGCGUUCUCCGACCCAGGAAUCUAAGGAAGAGCAAACACACGAGGGGCACGGAAGUGGAAAUGCUUUCAAAAUGGAAUGAAAAAACCAACUUCACAAUGUGCUCUAAACAACCGGCUGGCGAAGAGAGAAGAAGACAGCCACAGCUUAUAAAUCUUCUCUCUUAUGAAUGAAAUGGCCUCAGCUUUGUGGUACCAAGGAUCUCCUGGUGACACCUGAACAAAUCACUCUGGUUCCCAGAUGAAGAUCACUACAGCAAAUAAUGAAGAAGAGAAGAAGAGGAGGAGGAAGAAGAAGAAGGAGAAAAGAAAGAAAGAAGAAAGAAAGAAAGAAAGAAAGAAAGAAAGAAAGAAAGAAAGAAAGAAAGGGGCACCUGGGUGGCUCAGUCGGUUAAGCGUCUGCCUUCCGCUCAGGUCAUGGUCCCAGGGUUCUGGGCUGGAGCUCCGCAUGGAGCCCUUCAUUAGGCUCCCUUCUCAGCGGAGAAUCCGCUUCUUCUCCCUCUCCCCUCCUGCUCUCUCUUUCUCUCUCUCUCAAAUAAAUAAAUAAGAUCUUUAAGGGAAAAAAAAAGGGAGGAGGAGAUUUUGAGUUGGAAUUUUCCAAGGGUUCCCUUAUGCAGAUAUUAUUAGCUCUCUGUUUUACAGUUGAGUAAACUGACGCACUAAAAGGUUACAGACGCUCCCAACACCCCACGCACGAUUAGUAAGAUUCAGUCCCAGGCAAUCUGACUCCAGAGCCCAGGCUCUUAGUCAUGACCCUCUAGCGGUCUCCUGGUGGACGGUUGGACAGAGGAUGACUUAUAAAGAGGUGUGCAGACGCAGUACACGGGAAGGAUAAAGGACUCGCACCUGUGUCCAUAUUCCACCACUUCCUCCCAGAAUAAGUGAAGGCAAGUGACUUUUUCCCCAUGUAUUAAAAUGACUCAAAGUUGCGUCGUAAUGAUUGAAUAGAGACCCCAGAUGAAGGUAUUUAUACACCGUAAACCAUCACCCAGACAUUGACUAUGACUACCUGAGUAUCACUAAGUGUGAUUAUUUAAGCAUGGGGGGUAUUCUUCUUUGAUUAGAAGAACAGAGAAUUUAUUGAGAU